AACUUCUGAAUGUUGACCUCGAAUCAGGUAGGAAUACCCGCUGAACUUAAGCAUAUCAAUAAGCGGAGGAAAAGAAACUAACAGGGAUUGCCCCAGUAACGGCGAGUGAAGCGGCAACAGCUCAAAUUUGAAAUCUGGCUCUCGGGCCCGAGUUGUAAUUUGUAGAGGAUGCUUUUGGUGAGGUGCCUUCCGAGUUCCCUGGAACGGGACGCCAUAGAGGGUGAGAGCCCCGUCUGGUCGGACACCGAUCCUCUGUAAAGCUCCUUCGACGAGUCGAGUAGUUUGGGAAUGCUGCUCUAAAUGGGAGGUAUAUGUCUUCUAAAGCUAAAUACCGGCCAGAGACCGAUAGCGCACAAGUAGAGUGAUCGAAAGAUGAAAAGAACUUUGAAAAGAGAGUUAAAAAGUACGUGAAAUUGUUGAAAGGGAAGCGCUUGUGACCAGACUUGGGCUUGGUUGAUCAUCCAGGGUUCUCCCUGGUGCACUCUUCCGGCCCAGGCCAGCAUCAGUUCGCCCCGGGGGAAAAAGGCUUCGGGAAUGUGGCUCUCUCCGGGGAGUGUUA
rnacentral:rRNA from 1 species